rnacentral:rRNA from 1 species
UACGUAGGUGGCAAGCGUUAUCCGGAAUUAUUGGGCGUAAAGCGCGCGUAGGCGGUUUUUUAAGUCUGAUGUGAAAGCCCACGGCUCAACCGUGGAGGGUCAUUGGAAACUGGAAAACUUGAGUGCAGAAGAGGAAAGUGGAAUUCCAUGUGUAGCGGUGAAAUGCGCAGAGAUAUGGAGGAACACCAGUGGCGAAGGCGACUUUCUGGUCUGAACUGACGCUGAUGUGCGAAAGCGUGGGGAUCAAACAGGAUUAGAUAC